rnacentral:rRNA from 1 species
ACGGGAGGCAGCAGUGGGGAAUAUUGCACAAUGGGCGAAAGCCUGAUGCAGCGACGCCGCGUGAAGGAUGAAGUAUUUCGGUAUGUAAACUUCUAUCAGCAGGGAAGAAAAUGACGGUACCUGACUAAGAAGCCCCGGCUAACUACGUGCCAGCAGCCGCGGUAAUACGUAGGGGGCAAGUGUUAUCCGGAUUUACUGGGUGUAAAGGGAGCGUAGACGGCGAUGCAAGCCAGAAGUGAAAGCCCGGGGCUCAACCCCGGGACUGCUUUUGGAACUGUAUUGCUAGAGUCUCGGAGAGGCAAGCGGAAUUCCUAGUGUAGCGGUGAAAUGCGUAGAUAUUAGGAGGAACACCAGUGGCGAAGGCGGCUUACUGGACGAUAACUGACGUUGAGGCUCGAAAGCGUGGGGAGCAAACAGGAUUAGAUACCCUGGUA